rnacentral:rRNA from 1 species
UACGUAGGCAGCAAGCGUUUGUUCGGAAUUACUGGGCGUAAAGCGAGUGUAGGCGGUUCGAUAAGUUUGGUGUGAAAUCUCCCGGCUCAACUGGGAGGGUGCGCCGAAGACUGUCGAGCUAGAGUGUGGGAGAGGUAGGCGGAAUUCCUGGUGUAGCGGUGAAAUGCGUAGAUAUCAGGAGGAACACCUGCGGUGUAGACGGCUUACUGGACCACGACUGACGCUGCAACUCGAAAGUGUGGGGAGCAAACAGG